GCAUAUGUUGUUGCAAAGUAUAUGAAUAUCUUUUUGUUGAUGUAGCUGAUUGUUUAUUUCUUUUAUCUAAUAAGGGGAAGUGGUCUGUAUGUUUUGAAGGGGAGAAUAUUUGAGUUGUAAAAUUGAUUAUGCCUCUCCUGUCCUUCACAUCUGGACGGAGGGAACACAUAACAGAAGUCUCAAUAUAUCGGUGACAUAGUCUGUUAAGAACCGAUUCACAUACAUAUCAUAUAUACAAGAGCUAGGCAAUCCAUUUUACAGUUUGUAGGUACGAUGCAUUUUUUUCAUGUGUGAAUCUAGGAGAGGUGGUACUAAAAGGUUGGCCUUUGUGUCAGGUAGAAGAGAUGUUUAGAUACAAAAUUAGAUACAAAAAGGUCGCAGGUAGAAGAGAUGUCUAGAUAUUUGAGUUACCGCUAGCGUGCUCCAAUUAACAGGUAGAGAUCAUGGGCUAUUCGAAAGGAGAGUAGGAUAUGUUCAGAACAACAAUUAAAAAUGCAAGAAAACCAUGCUUGGCUUUCUUUAGCAACAGUUCACUUCCACUUCUACCUGAUUGUACCUCUUUAAUGUCCAUGAUGGUUUUCUGCUCUGCAUACAGUAUGGGUCAAAAGUCCAAAUGGCGAAAAAGGCGCUGACGCCGUUACUUGGAAACAAUAAUUAACUUUUGUAGUUUGUUUACCUUCUUUGUCUCCCGAGUAUACUUUGUGUGUCCAUACUUCUGUUCCAAAAAGAAAAUUGUAAGUAACAAUGAAAGAAAGAAGAAUUGAUUACCUGACUUCUUCAUUACUGCCUUGAUGUCUUAUUCAAUUAUUGCCUGACUUCUUAAUAUACUUGGAUGAAUAAUCCUUUUGUUUUCCCUUCUUUUUGGGGUUUGCAAGCAACAGUUUAUAUGAUGCUGAGUUUUUUUGCUUAUUAUAGUAGAAGUGAUGGGUUUGUACUAUUGUAUUUCUGGAAAUGCGUAUUCACAGAAUUGCAAUCUGAAGGAGCGAUGGAAGUGAAGAUUGCAUGCUUUUUCUUUAAGAUACCUAAUAGAUGAUUUUGCAGUUAGUCCGUGUUACUGGAGAUUAAAGUUUUUCAGCAGGAUUACUUGGGUCCAAUUAGCUGCGUGGAAGUGGCUGUGUAGUGUUGGAGAUUAAAAUCACCCAGUAGUGCUUUUUCAACGGAGUCAUGUUACUCGAUUUUUUUAAAUGCUUAUAGCGCCUUCUAGAUAUGCUUGUGAUGUUUUGAUAUUAAUUUUGUUUUUCAAAAUCAGACCAGAUUGUAGGAAAUUUGUAUUGUCUUGUGAACAAAUGCUAUUUUUUGAAUGAAUAUAAUUUGUUGUCUUUGUAAA